CGGCCACCUUGGUUAGUUGUGCCCGUACAACUACUCGUUCUAGGUCAAGACCGGACCCUUACGGAACACACGUUUGGUCUGCUCCUCACCCCGUUACCGAGGGGGGUUCUUCUUGGUCAAGUGGCGGCUCCGUCCAGGUUCCCGACGGACGACCCUCCUCGAGCCACAGCGUCUACAACCCCUAACUCAGGUCCUCGGUGGUACGACAAGGUUCUCUAAAUUAAUGGAAGGUACCUUCUCCUCCUGUACCUGCUAGCAACGCCAUUCCCUACGUUUUGCCUGUGGUAUGCACUGUCGUUUCUUUCACGACUCCAUGUCUCCUGGUAAGAAGAGCAUCCGGAACCACAGUUUUACCUUGACCCUCAGGUGCUACGAGGACUACAACAUGAACACGGGCCUGAGUCACUUCUCGGGUACUCUCUUCUACCCUUUCAAGGCUCGGAACAUGUUCAACUUGGUCAUGCGCUACCCGUACUAGUGCAUGUACUACUACUUCUUAGGACGCCGCUGCAACCGCCACCGCUUGGUCCCCGACCGCUCCCCCGAGGGCUCCAUUCUCCUCUGUCUCCGGGUCAGCUCCGGCUACCUCGGCUACGGCUCCGGCACCUCCGGGCUCGGCUCGACGACCCGGUUGUGCCUCAACCCCUUCUGGGUCGUCUAGGUCCUCUCCCUCCACUCGUAGACCUUGUCCAUCGGCCCCUUCUACAUCAUCUGCUUCGACGUCUGUUUCCGGUGGUCCUUCUUGACCGACGCGCACUUCGGCGGAAACGAGGCGUGGAGGAAGAGCACCUCGCGGGACGAGCCUUAAGGUCCCCAGUAAAGUCUCUUACUAAGGUUAGGCUUACAGGUUCAGACAAGAUCAAAUCGUAUAUGAAGGAGGCAGGGGUUUAUAUUCAGAAAAAUCUCUUAAAUUGUUCACUCUCGUUUUAUUUAUUUAGAUAUGAGAUUUUAUACAGAUGUAUGUAGUCAUACAACAUCAGGUAAAGUUUACAGAUUUUUCUGAAGCGAAUGACGAGUCAAAAACCGGCGUACGUAGCUAACUACGUCUCCGGCCUCCAUUAGGAGGAAAAAGUUUUUUUUACUCGCAGAAAGUUG
rnacentral:rRNA from 1 species